rnacentral:rRNA from 1 species
UACGUAGGUGGCGAGCAUUGUCCGGAUUUACUGGGCGUAAAGGGAGCGUAGGCGGAUUUUAAGUGAGAUGUGAAAUACUCGGGCUCAACUUGAGUGCUGCAUUUCAAAACUGGAAGUCUAGAGUGCAGGGAGAGGAGAAUGGAAUUCCUAGUGUAGCGGUGAAAUGCGUAGAGAUUAGGAAGAACACCAGUGGCGAAGGCGAUUCUCUGGACUGUAACUGACGCUGAGGCUCGAAAGCGUGGGGAGCAAACAGG